rnacentral:rRNA from 1 species
AACGAACGCUGGCGGCAGGCUUAACACAUGCAAGUCGAGCGCCCCGCAAGGGUAGCGGCAGACGGGCGAGUAACGCGUGGGAAUCUACCCAUCUCUACGGAAUAACGCAUGGAAACGUGUGCUAAUACCGUAUACGUCCUUCGGGAGAAAGAUUUAUCGGAGAUGGAUGAGCCCGCGUUGGAUUAGCUAGUUGGUGGGGUAAAGGCCUACCAAGGCGACGAUCCAUAGCUGGUCUGAGGGGAUGAUCAGCCACACUGGGACUGAGACACGGCCCAGACUCCUACGGUAGGCAGCAGUGGGGAAUAUUGGACAAUGGGCGCAAGCCUGGUCCGGCCAUGCCGCGUGAGUGAUGAAGGCCCUAGGGUUGUAAAGCUCUUUCACCGGUGAAGAUAAUGACGGUAACCGGAGAAGAAGCCCCGGCUAACUUCGUGCCAGCAGCCGCUGUAAUAC